CUCUCCGCUGAGCGCCUGGCACUGCCUAGCGCCAGCCUGACUGUCCGUCUGCAGCUUUGCAGGCGGGUACCACUAGGGGGCGCGAGGCAGAGGCCUCCCCGCUCUCCCUGCGUCAUUUCCCACGACUGACUGGAUGUGAAUCUACAAGCGAGAAGCGCCCGCGCAGGUGGAGAUCAGGUACCACCUCAGCCAUAUCCUGUAACUUCGCCUCCUUCCUGCCUCAGUCUUUACUUGGCUUCCUAGGAGAGUGAGAGUCCAGAGAACCAAACCGAGAGGGAGAGGUGGAAAUCUCUAUGAUCUUCUAUUCUGAGGAAGACAUGAGACGCACCAAGCGGAAGGAGAAGCUGGAGCCAGCAGAGGCCCUCACAGCCCUGCCUCAGAGGGCUGGGCGGAGGCACAAGCAUCGCCUCACAACUUUGCCCACCAAGACCACCACCAUGGCCCCAGAGGCACAGGAAGCCUUUUGUGGAACCUCAGCCUCAGAAGACUUGGCAGAGCCUCCGGACACGUGGGUGGCACCUGUCUUGGGACACCCUGUCUUCAGGACCAUGGGGGUCACACUGCUCGUCAGUCUGUCCAUCCUAGGCAGCUGCAGUCUCUCGAUGGCACAGAGACAGAAGUGUCACCAUCCCAAGUGGCCCAGAAGCCUCUGAACUGCAGCAAGCAUCCUAUGUGACCAGUGACAAGCCUGCAGUGGCUAGAGCGACCCCUGCCAUCUCCCGAGGGACCCUCCCCUGUCCCUUCCGGGGGCUGGCUUCCUGGCACCUGCCCUUUCUGCUGGUUUCAGGACAGCUUUCUGGCAGCAGCUGUGAAGCAAGUCAGCAGGACCAGCAGAAGUCCUGGAAUAACAGCGUAUCUGUCCAUUGCAUCCGUGCCACCCAGUGCCCUGUACCCUUGGCACUGGUGUAAAUGCACAUUUGCAUGUCCUGCACACCCACAUUGGCAACAUGUUUCUGAUUUCAGCCAGACUCGGGAUGGAUUCUGAGCGGCACUCAGGAAACACAGCAGCCACGGUAGGAGCAGGAUGGGUGGGGAGGCUGUGGAGCAGAAUUUGGGCUUAGGGAGCCCUCAGGGUGGUGAACAAAUGCCUUCUGUUGUGUGUGUGUGUGUGUGGAGGGGGGUGAUAAAGCCCUUAAGGCGAGGCUGCCCCAGGGCUCCCAGCCUCUCACUUCCCACACCUCCCACAGCACAUCCACGGCCCACGGAGCAGCUGAGACACCGCCUGGCACGUGACAAGGUCGCUAGCCAGGAAGCGGGGCAGGACAACGUGCACCUCUCCUGCUCAGGGCCUACUAGAUGGGAUGCUGGGAAAGAUGGGGCAGUGGGGUACACUGCCCACCUUGGCGACUCCUGCCCAUAUUAGGCCCCCAAAGGGCAUGGUCAGCUUAGAUCCAGACUCAGCUGUCCUGGCCUUGGGUCCUUUAGAGGACAGUAGGAACAGUGCUGCCAGCACCCAUGACUGCCUCGUCCAACCUGGAGAAUUGCACCUGCUGAGUCAGGAGCUCAAUGAGGCCCCAGAAGGAGCCAGCAGCCAGGAGCUUGGCACAGGCAUGGGAAGGCCACACACGAGGGCCGAACUGACUGCACCGGGGAGCUGGUGCAAGGCAGGAACUAGACUUCAGUGGAGCCUUUGCGACCAACCUGAGGAGCUGCAGGUCCCAGAGGCCGGCUGGAACCUUCCUGCUCCCUCAUCCCUACUCUGACCAUCGCUUAUCCCUAGCAUCUUGGGCAGUACUAGAAAGGACCGUCUGUGGAUGUGGGCCAGCCUGUCCCUGCCUCCCAGGCUGCCUGACCUGAGGGCCUGCAGCACAGAACCCAUGGAGCCUGCCCAGGGACUGGUUCCGACCUGAGGAAACUUUGGUGCCCAAGGAUGGUGGCAGGAGCUAGUGUGCCACCUCAGUCUGAUCACCUUGCUCCACUCUGCACCCUGAGCAGCCCAGAGAAAAAACCUAGAACUCGGGGCUGCAAGGGAGGGCCACCAAGAUAUCCCUUCUCACCUCGUGGGACUCUGCACCCGGGGACAGGGUCCUUGGGUCUCACGAAGGCCAGCUCCCCGUGCCUCCCUAGAGCUCUGCUACCUCUGCCCCAGAAGCUCUGCCCCUGCUCACUCCUCCCCAUUGGCACCUUGCCCGGCAGGGGAAACAUGAGGACAGGGCUGGAGAAGCAGUACACGUCCCCUGAGACUGGAACUUCUGGGGACAGAGAAGGAGGCAGCACAAACAGAUCAGCAUCCGUGGAUGAGGCCUGACCUUCCCAGCCUCCCCCACCCUGCGAAGGGAACACCAUGCUGUCUCUACUUCUGCGGCCUUGUGCACUCUGUGCCUGCUGCUUAGCGUGUUGUUCCCCACCUGGUCAACAUGGUCAGUCCACUGCAGCUUCAGGCGCAAGGCUGGUGGCUUACUUUCUCUUCACUGGGACCCAGCACCCAAAAGGAUAGGCUUAUCUUGACCCACAGUUUGUAGAACUUUCAGUCCAGACUUGGCUGAUAGCUCCAAGCCAGGGUGACAUGACAAAGAGGAAACAGUCCACAGCAGGGUGCAGGAAGCAGAGAGAGAUCAAGGUGGGAAGAGGGACACAGACCCAGGCCUCACCCCCGUGAGCUACCUCCUCCGGCCAGGCUUCACCUCUGAGCACUACAUACCACAGUAAACCCAUCAGCAGAGUAAGCCACUCAUGAGUACCACUUCUCCAUGAUCCCAAGUCCCAUCUGCGAGCGCAUGAGGCUUUGGGGGACAUUCUGAUACAAACCACAACAGCCUGUCUUCUUGAAGGGUUGCUGGACUGCAGCCCCUCAUCCACGCCUGCUGGCCCUCAUCAGCCUGGUGCAGAGUAGGUGUCAGCACAGUGACCAGGUGAAGCCUGAGCUCUCCAGGGCCCAGCUUCCGCUGGGGAGGUCUCAGCGCGUGACCGAAGGCAGCCCUGUGAAGCACACAGGGCUGGGCCCAGGCUACACCUCAGGAGCAUCCCAGCGUCCUCACACCUGGGCCCUGUGGCCCUUCUCCCUGAGGAGACUGAGAGCCUUUGCUCACUGUCACAUUGUGACCCACACGUGGAACUCUCCCCUUCCUGAACAGGUGCCUUUGUCCUCCUGCCAUCCUGGCCCCAAGCCCUGUGGCACGGCCUGCAAUGGUGGCACGGGUCAGCAGCCAGCUGGGGCCCAAGGCUGCUACCCAUGGGACCCAGCCCAGCACCUGCCACACACCCCCGGGGCUGAAGGGGUCUGGUACCUUCCACAGCCCAGGGAGGGAGCAGGGCACAGUCUCACCUUCUGUACCCAGUGCUACAUGGAGCCUGUCAGAGCUGGCUGGGGUUCAGAAUCGACGGCUGUCACUGAGAGCCCCGUAGGCCCCCCACAACUCUGCCCUACUGGACUCACUGCUUUGGCCGCUAUCCUGGCAGUCCCUUGGAGGGGCCAUCGUAGUCUGUUCUGUCUGCUACAGAACGAUUCCGUGACACUUGCAAAGAGCAGUCAGUCCUGCAGGCCGGGAGGCUGUAGUUACGGCUCCAGCAGUCUGUCCCCAGGGCUCAUCCUGCCUCCUGCACCCUAACAUGCCCUUCUUCCAGAAAGGUGCUGAGGGGCCCAGUUACUUCCCGUAGGGCCAUUUCUUUACCAGGAACCAAACUCAGGACCCUGCGCUGCCAGGCAGGCACUGUGCCGCUGAGCCACAGCCCCAGAAAGGCCACUUCAUAAUGCUAUCACUGGGGCGACAUUUGGGAAAUGCUGGACGUCCAUCAGCGUUCAGACCACAGAGGCAACUGCUGUGGCAGCUGCUUGUCCCAGAACCUGACCCGUCGAGUGCACACAGGUACGGUCCUGCGGCAGCGACCCGCCCGUGUCCUCAGCAGCGUUUCCUCCCUGGGACAACCCCCGGGCAGCUGGUUUCCAAAGCAAAGAGGCUUCUUCAGUGUGUGGGUUCACAGCCAAGACCGAGACCUGCAUUGGCUCCACCCGUGUGGAUCCUGUAGCUCUGCACAGGACAGUGGGUCAUAAUAAGAGCAUGCGUGGGGCUAGGAGCUCCACCUUCCAGAGCCGCAGCAAGGCCCCUCCCGAGAGCAUCUCCCAGGGCUGCCCAGCCUGAGCCUGACUGCCCUGGGGACCUCCUAGUGGUGCUUUCCUAAAGCGCUGCCCCAGAACUGCAGCCAGGGGACCACACCUCCUCUGGGGGAGACAGCAGCCAAACCACAGCACAGAGCUCCACCCAAAGCAGGGCUGUGGGCUUCCCCGAACCAGCACUAGGACACCCUGUCCACAGUGGACGCCCAGGCUGCGCUCCCAGCACGGCUCAGGAGUCCCCACGAAUCCUUGCUGACACAAGCAUCGGGACCAUGUUCCUGCAGCCCCCAAAACGAGGGCGUGAAUCCCGGUUCAGGAGACCAGGAAGUCCGAGGUCAGCGCCAGCAGCUCCUAGUUCACUGACAGGCAGCUUCUCACUGAGCUGCGUGUGACAGGAGGGCCGAGGGGGCUCUCAGUACUCUCCGCUGAGGGCACUAACCCGCUGCUGAGUGCCCCACCCUCGCACCCACUCGGCUCCCAAGGCCUCGUCUCCACCCUGUCUGCUGUGUCCACUCAAGUUUGUGUUAAAAGUGAAACCCUGGUAACAUGCUGGCUGUGCUUUCUUUCUUUUUUGGCAGUAAUGGGAAUUGAGGCCAGGGUCUUUGUAUUGACUGUAUCUCUAUCCCUUUUUUAUUAUUUUGAGGCAGGGUAAAAUGCUAAAUCAUCCAGGCUGGGCUUGAAUUUAUGAACCUCCUGCCUCCGCCUCCUGGGUGCUGGGAUUAUAGGCGUGUGUCACCACACCCCACUAAAUCUCUCUCAUUAAUGAGUUAGUCUGUAGUUAGCACCACAAGAUGGACCAAGCCACACUGCACUAUGGAUUAGGUUUCAGUGUAUAAAUUUGGGGGUGGGACACAAACUCUCAAUCCAUAGCAAUUGGGUGGGGGACCCUGAGUGGGUUCUCAGGUCUGCAUCGCCAGAUUUUCCACGACAGCCACCCGACAGCCCUGUAUGUUCCAGUAACUUAGGUUUCUAUACAUUUAAAAGUUAAACUUUGUCUUCCACACCUCAAAUGGGCCAUCAGGCAGCUUCCCCCGUCCCAGGUUCUGAGCAGUGCAGCCAGAACCCUUCCUGGUCAAGCCAGAUGGAGACAGUUUGACCGCCCUGGCACUGCCAGCUCCCCUCUGCAUCCUAGGACUGCACCUGACCAGUGCACAUUCCACGGAAGCCACUCUGCACAAGGGCACCUGGAGGCGGGCCUGGCUGCCAGAGAUCAGGGACAGAAGAGGCUUUCUGCAUGCUUCAGGGAGCAGAGGGCAGCGCCAUGGGUGCAGGGGGAAAAGGGGCUGCCCUGAGCACCUGCCCAGCCCCUGUACUGGGGAGGGGACAGCGGAGGCCUAUGCAGCACUGCUCCCAAAGGAGGUUUGCUGAGACAAGGCAGGAGGACCAGCUGCUGACCUAGCGGGGGACAGCACGAGUGACAGAUCAGAACCUUCACCCUGAUGCCAGGAAGCUCGGAAAAGUCACAGGCAUGGUGACCUUCAGAAGCUGCCCUGUCACCGUGGGAGUCUACGGGAAAACCAGACCAGAAGGAGCAAGUGCACCUUAAAGACAACAACGGCACAGUGACUCCAAAGAUGGUCACAUCCUAUUCCCACGACCUGUGCCUGUCACCGCACGUGACAAAGGCCAGCACAGACCUUGAGGCGGGAGAUUGUCCUGGUUCCGCAGAUGAGUCCUGGACGCAGUCCCCAGCAUCCUUCGGAAAGAAGCAGAGCCGCAAGCCGCCUGCUGGGCACUGGGAUGCAGCAGACGCGGUGGGCAGCUCCCCUCAUGGUGCCAAAAUACGAGAUGCCAGCCCGAAGGAGGAAAGGCUGGCUUGGCCUCAUGGUUCUGAGAUUUCUGUCCACAGUGGGCUGGGCCCACUGCACUGGACCCACACGGGCAAAACGCAGUGGGAAGCGUGCAGGGAGCCAGCUGCCCUGUCACAGCAGCCGCCCACCGGGAGACAGAGGCAGGAAGGGUCAGCCCCAGCAAGCUGGCUUCCCGCCCCACCCAGCUUUCCAGUUCCACCACAUCCCAAUGCUGCCACAGGCCGGUGCAGGGGCUGUGGAGGACACUUGCCAAAACACCAGCAGGCAGCCGCCAGACGCUGAGGAACAGCAAAUGCUUCCCCGCCCCCACAGCCAGAGCCCGCAGCAGCGGCACAGGCACUCAGGGCCCUCCAUGGGGGAGGGAGGGAGGGGAGGGGACCCCUGGGCAGCCCAGAGGCAGACAGCGGAGGGAAGGACAAGGGCUGGACUCUGAGGCCCACUUGGGCUACAGCGCCCCUCCACCCAUCCCUGCUCUACCUGGGGACCCUAACUCCAAGGUCUCUAGCCAAAGGUGUCUUGGGGCAGGUUGCCUUCUGGGUUUUGUUCCCCUAUCCUCCCUCCCCUCUCCCUUCCUCUCCUCUCCUUUCCUUUCCUUUCAUUUUAUUCUGUUUUUGGUGCUGAAGGUGUGACCUAGAGUACUGCACAAACAAAUGCUCUAUAGCUGACUUCUGCUCCCUUCCGCAAUCUUAGAAGUCCUAAGCUUUUUGGGGCCCAGCCAGAUGUUGGGAGAACGGUGAGCAGCCAAGACCUGUGAGAGCCCUCAGUCCUGGGAGAGCUCAGCCGGCAUCGGGCAGGGCUCGGGGUUCACCCGCAGGCGCGGCUGCCCGUGCCUGGCUGGGGCCUAGAGUGGACAGGCCGCCUCUGCUCCUCUCCUACAGGGUUAGGAGUGGCCACUGCGGCCAGCAGGAAACUGCGGCUCUUGCGGAAGAAGCGCUUAUCGGAAGGUGACAGGUGGCUCACAGGUCAAAAGGAAGGAAAAAGAAAAAUGAAGGAGGGAAAGAAAGAAGGGAGAUAAAAGCAUGGAAGGGAGGACAGCAAGCCUUGGAAGGAAGCAAGGAGGCCGGGCCCCGGGGCAUCCUGGGACACAGUGCGCCUGCUCCUGCAUCCUCAGUGCCCCGGCCACCGGGCCUGGCUCCGGGCCCCGAGAGGGGCGCCCACAGUCGGCCUGCUCACCCCAAAGCCCCAGUCAGGAGAGCAGCACCCAGGCCCUGGACUGUGACUCCUGAGCCAGCGCCCAGGGUGUUUAGUGGCCCAUGAAGGAAAGGAGGAGCUGUCCCCGUGCUGUGGGCUGGGCUCAGGCUUUGUGCCCCUCACUGUGGUGCUCUGUACCCCAAGAACCUUGGGCUCGGAAGUUAGGACCCAGAAAGUGUGGUCUUGAAGGGGAUGUGGGCACCCUGGCACUUCUCCCCCUCACUUCCUACCACCCUGAGUGGAGCACAGCUCCUGCGAGGCAAGGCACGGGCAGCGCUGUGGGGUGGCCUGGGCAUGGCUGGACUGACCCCAAGAGAUGCCUCAGGGGCAGGGCAGGCCCCCUGGAGACUUUCUCUAGGAUAGUUCUCCUUAAUUAGUGUCGACUGUUGCUCAGAGGGGUCUUUGAACCCCUCCCAAGAACCCCUCCUGCUCAGGUUUCCAGCAUUUUCCACUAGUAAGCCCUUCCUUGUUUAAUAAACACAGGCUGCCCAGAGACUUCCCCGCCUCAGCUACCAGAGUUAUGAACUCUGCAAAAGAUUUUGGUCCUCUUGGCGCCCUAAAAGUCACACCACCUAUCUCAUUCAUUUGGGCCUUCACUGUGAACUCGUUUGGGACAUUGGGGACCUAGGCACAGACCCCAGUAGACAGCAACAUGCUGUGUCCUCACAGGCCAAAGCAGCAGGGUCAGGAAGCCUUGGGGUUGAGUAUGCCAGCUGUGCAACCACAAAUCAGAAUAAACCUGGCUCAUUACAA